rnacentral:rRNA from 1 species
CAGCCGCCGCGGUAAUACGAAGGGGGCUAGCGUUGUUCGGAUUUACUGGGCGUAAAGCGCACGUAGGCGGAUCGAUCAGUCAGGGGUGAAAUCCCAGAGCUCAACUCUGGAACUGCCUUUGAUACUGUCGAUCUGGAGUAUGGAAGAGGUGAGUGGAAUUCCGAGUGUAGAGGUGAAAUUCGUAGAUAUUCGGAGGAACACCAGUGGCGAAGGCGGCUCACUGGUCCAUUACUGACGCUGAGGUGCGAAAGCGUGGGGAGCAAACAGGAUUAGAUACCCGCGUAGUCCCUGUCUCUUAUAC